rnacentral:lncRNA from 1 species
UUUGGACUCUGCCAGUGAGCAACAACUGGCCAACGUGGGUCCGGCCAAACUAAAGACUCGGAGAAGAGAACACACUACUUGGACUGUGGACUACUGGAGUAUUAUUGGAUGCAGAUGAACGCAAAGCAUCCAGGCCUUUUCUUUCUUCUUCCUGGUGUUUACUGGUCAGUCUGCCCAGUCCACUUCGUUUCUUUGCUUCCCUUUUUUGUGGCUUCAGGGAGAUGUUGCUGCCCUGUUGCUGAAAGCAAAAGCAAAGGUACCUAACUGGAAUAAGCUCUCUCCAACCAAGCAUCUGAACUUAUAUACCUAUACAUAUAUUCUCUAGAUUGUGAUAUACACCUGACUUGUACUUAGUUGCAUCAUUGCAUGCCAAGAAUUUUGUUCUAUUUUCCCCCCUUGUUUCCUGUGACUCUUGGUUGGAUUUGGGAGAAAGGUGGACUUUACGUUUUGUGGAGGGAACACUAACCUGGUGAGAAUAACUCGUGCAAUGUGUGCAAUUAAUUAGUCACAAAAGCUUUUAUGAUCUGUUGAAACAAUAUGUAUAUGUCCAGAUAAUUUGGGGUUCCAACUUAUAAGAAAAACUGUUCCAUUCCACUAGCUCAGUUUCUGCGUGUUGCAACCAUUUUGAAGGGCAAGUGGUUCAGCUUAUAUGUGGUACUUUGGUAGGUCCAUUUCGGGCUUAUAACAAACAAUAAAAGUUGGCACAAAUGACGCAAGCAGCACUAGAGAUUAUCUUAGGAAAAAGAAGAAAUAUCCUUUGGUCUAAAAAAUUGUUCAAAGAUCCUGGAAAAGUGUAGUGAACAUUUGUAAAGAAAAGGAAAGAAAAAAAAAGGAUAAUCACAAGCCUUCCGCCCUGAUGCGCAGGCAACUAACAAGUCUCUAACAUCUACUAAUCUGCCACCUGUCUGCAUCUGAUUUCUCUGUUCAUUAUCUCAGGUGGAAGGUGAUGAACAGGUCAGGAAACUAUUUAAGCCAGUGAUUGCUUCACUUAUUAUUACAGAGCAACGACUUGUUCUUCUGAACACAUAUUUGUCGGAGUUAAAGAGGGCCCGGGGUAUAUACGACGCAUAUAUACCGCAUUUGAUAAAACUCCAGGUCCGAGCAAUACGUGGUCGCUCGUGUAUCUUGUAGAAAAAAUAGGUGGUACGCCCUGUUGCUAGCUGCUGCCGUGUUGUUUUCCUGAGUUUAUGUGUGCCCCAAACGUCUCCUUUGUUUGCUGUUCGCUCAAUCAGCCGUCCAUCUGUCUACGUGUUCCAGUGGCUUUUUUUCUACGGUAAUGUGUGCUUGGAUUGUUGCUGCUGCUGCUUGACGACAAGGGAGCAUGGGAUCGAUGUGAUUUUAUGUUGCAGUCGUGUUCCUCUUGUAGUCGUAACCUAACCGGUGAAAGCCAAAGGUAUAGCUGUGAAUAUUGAGUUAAUUUCUCUUUGGGUUGUCUUUUAUUACCGAUAUUUUGUUUUGGAUUAACUUUUAACAAACGUAUUUAUUUUGGAUUGGAUAAUUUUACCUUUACUUUACUUUAGACUACCUGACUCUCUUAUCAAGCAUAUGAACAAUUUCGAGUACGACGACUUUUGCUUGUCAAUGAACCUUACAUAGACUAAAAAUAGUUAAAUUAUACGUAGACUAUUGCUUUGAUAUGACAAGUAGAUACAAAUGGAUAAAAAUAGUUUAGGGUGGUCUAAAAUGCCACAAAGUUAAAUUUACUUAGUUCAAAAUAAAAAUAUUUCUUAAAGUGUGGUCUAAACCAAAACAGUAAUGAAAGUGACCCAAAAUGAAAUUUACUUGUGAAG